UACGAAGGGGGCUAGCGUUGCUCGGAAUCACUGGGCGUAAAGCGCACGUAGGCGGAUUGCUAAGUCAGGGGUGAAAUCCUGGAGCUCAACUCCAGAACUGCCCUUGAUACUGGCGGUCUCGAGUCCGGGAGAGGUGAGUGGAAUUGCGAGUGUAGAGGUGAAAUUCGUAGAUAUUCGCAGGAACACCAGUGGCGAAGGCGGACUCACUGGUCCGGAACUGACGCUGAGGUGCGAAAGCGUGGGGAGCAAACAGG
rnacentral:rRNA from 1 species